AUAUGAUUACUUAUAUAACAAUUAGUUAUUUCCUCUUGAAGAAGUUUAAGAAAAGCAUAAUUGUGUUGUUCCUUUUUAACAUUUAUUUUGUUUUCAUACAGGCAAUUUUAUAUGAUGACAAAGGAGCAUGUUUGGAGAGUCUGUUUCUUAAAUGCCUUGAGGUGAAACCUGGAGAUGACUUAGAAAGUGAUCGAUACUUAAUCACAGUUGAAGAGGUUAAAGUUGCUGGAGCCAUAGGUACUGUUAAGCAGAAUGUCAAUAAAGAAGCACCAGAGUUAAAUUCAAGGACAUUUAUAUCCUCUGGCCGAUCUCUUGGAUGUCAGCCCUCUGGCUUAAAAAGGAAGUUUACUGGUUUUCAAGGACCACGUCAGGUUCCAAAGAAAAUGGUUAUUAUGGAAAGUGGUGAAUCAGCUGCAUCACAUGAGGCUAAGAAAACUGGCCCUACUAUUUUUUCUCCAUUCUACAGCAUGCCUCCUUUGUUUCCUACUGUUGGCAAGAAAGAUGUAAAUAAUAUAC
rnacentral:sRNA from 1 species